ACUCCUACGGGAGGCAGCAGUGGGGAAUAUUGCACAAUGGGGGAAACCCUGAUGCAGCCAUGCCGCGUGUGUGAAGAAGGCCUUCGGGUUGUAAAGCACUUUCAGUAGGGAGGAAGGUAGUGUAGUUAACACCUGCAUUAUUUGACGUUACCUACAGAAGAAGCACCGGCUAACUCCGUGCCAGCAGCCGCGGUAAUACGGAGGGUGCGAGCGUUAAUCGGAAUUACUGGGCGUAAAAGCGCAUGCAGGCGGCCUGUUAAGUCAGAUGUGAAAGCCCGGGGCUUAACCUCGGAAUUGCAUUUGAAACUGGCAGGCUAGAGUCUUGUAGAGGGGGGUAGAAUUUCAGGUGUAGCGGUGAAAUGCGUAGAGAUCUGAAGGAAUACCAGUGGCGGAAGGCGGCCCCCUGGACAAAAGACUGACGCUCAGAUGCGAAAGCGUGGGGAGCAAAACAGGAUUAGAUACCCUGGUAGCACAGAG
rnacentral:rRNA from 1 species